UAUGACCCUCAGCAAAAGAUAUCUUGGCUCUUGUAUCGAUGAAGUGCACAGUGAAAUGCAAUACAUGGUGUGAAUUUUAGAAUCUCAUGAACCAUCAAUUUCUUGAAUGCAAGUAGUGCUCAUGGCUAACUGGCUAAGGGCACAUCUUCCUGGGCAUCAAAG
rnacentral:rRNA from 1 species